rnacentral:rRNA from 1 species
AACGAACGCUGACGGCAUGCCUAACACAUGCAAGUCGAACGCCCUGGGCAACCAGGGAGUGGCGGACGGGUGAGUAACGCGUGGGGACCUGCCUCGAAGUUCGGAAUAACCGCGGGAAACUGCGGCUAAUACCGGAUGUGGCCUGAGGGCCAAAGGGGAAACUCGCUUCGAGAGGGGCCCGCGUCCGAUUAGCUAGUUGGCGGGGUAACGGCCCACCAAGGCGACGAUCGGUAGCUGGUCUGAGAGGAUGAUCAGCCACACUGGGACUGAGACACGGCCCAGACUACUGCGGGAGGCAGCAGUGGGGAAUAUUGGACACUGGAGGCAACCCUGUUCCAGCAAUGCCGCGUGAGUGAUGAAGGCCUUCGGGUUGUAAAGCUCUUUGGGCGGGGACGAUGAUGGCGGUACCCGCAGAAUAAGCCCCGGCUAACUACGUGCCAGCCGCCGCGGUAAAAC